rnacentral:rRNA from 1 species
UACGUAGGGGGCAAGCAUUGUCCGGAAUUAUUGGGCGUAAAGAGCGCGUAGGCGGUCCGAUAAGUCGGCUGUGAAAGUCAGGGGCUCAACCCUUGGAAGCCGGCCGAUACUGUCGGACUAGAGUCCGGAAGAGGCGAGUGGAAUUCCCGGUGUAGCGGUGAAAUGCGCAGAUAUCAGGAGGAACACCGGUGGCGAAGGCGGGUCUCUGGGCCGAUACUGACGCUGAGGAGCGAAAGCGUGGGGAGCGAACAGG